GAAAUAAGGUUAAGUUAAUAAGGGCGCACGGUGGAUGCCUUGGCACUAGGAGCCGAUGAAGGACGUGACUAACGACGAAAUGCUUUGGGGAGCUGUAAGUAAGCAUUGAUCCAGAGAUGUCCGAAUGGGGGAACCCGGCAUGUAAUGCAUGUCAUCCAUGACUGUUAAGGUCAUAGGAAGGAAGACGCAGUGAACUGAAACAUCUAAGUAGCUGCAGGAAGAGAAAGCAAAAGCGAUAGCCUUAGUAGCGGCGAGCGAAACGGCUGGAGGGCAAACCGAGGAGUUUACUCCUCGGGGUUGUAGGACUGCAAUGUGGACUUAAAGAGUAUAGAAGAAUGAC
rnacentral:rRNA from 1 species